AUUGAACGCUGGCGGCAUGCCUUACACAUGCAAGUCGAACGGCAGCACGGGUGCUUGCACCUGGUGGCGAGUGGCGAACGGGUGAGUAAUACAUCGGAACGUACCUUAUCGUGGGGGAUAACGCAGCGAAAGCUGUGCUAAUACCGCAUACGCCCUGAGGGGGAAAGCGGGGGAUCGAAAGACCUCGCGCGAUUAGAGCGGCCGAUGCCUGAUUAGCUUGUUGGUGGGGGAAAAGCCCACCAAGGCGACGAUCAGUAGCUGGUCUGAGAGGACGAUCAGCGAAACUGGGACUGAGACACGGCCCAGACUCCUACGGGAGGCAGCAGUGGGGAAUUUUGGACAAUGGGGGCAACCCUGAUCCAGCAAUGCCGCGUGAGUGAAGAAGGCCUUCGGGUUGUAAAGCUCUUUUGUCAGGGAAGAAACACCGGCUCUAACACAGUCCGGGAAUGACGGUACCUGAAGAAUAAGCACCGGCUAACUACGUGCCAGCAGCCGCAGUAC
rnacentral:rRNA from 1 species